rnacentral:lncRNA from 1 species
AGCAAAAGUGGGCUGUGGCUAUUUGGAAAUCAGAGCAUCUUUUAAAAGGGAGACGGCAUCUGAACCUUGCCGAAUAGGAAUGUUCCAGAAGUAAGAGAGAUGACUAGGGUUUCAAGAACAAGGACCAGCACCUAUGAAGGCUCUGAGGCACAGACCACUGUGACCUGUGGAGAAGUGAGUCUCAGUCACCCAAGCUGGAGUGAAGUGGCGCAAUCUCAGCUUACUGCAACCUCCACCUCCCGGGUUCAAGUGAUUCUCGUACCUCAGCCUCCCAAGUAGCUGGAAUUACAGGUA